rnacentral:rRNA from 1 species
GAUGAACGCUGGCGGCGUGCCUAAUACAUGCAAGUCGAGCGAACAGACGAGGAGCUUGCUCCUCUGACGUUAGCGGCGGACGUGUGAGUAACACGUGGAUAACCUACCUAUAAGACUGGGAUAACUUCGGGAAACCGGAGCUAAUACCGGAUAAUAUAUUGAACCGCAUGGUUCAAUAGUGAAAUACGGUUUUGCUUUCACUUAUAGAUGGAUCCGCGCCGCAUUAGCUAGUUGGUAAGGUAACGGCUUACCAAGGCAACGAUGCGUAGCCGACCUGAGAGGGGGAUCGGCCACACUGGAAGUGAGACACGGACCAGACUCCUACGGGAGGCAGCAGUAGGGAAUCGUCCGCAAUGGGCGAAAGCAUGACGGAGCAACGCCGCGUGAGAGAUGAAGGUCUACGGAUCGUAAAACUCUGUUAUUAGGGAAGAACAAAUGUGUAAGUAACUAUGCACGUCUUGACGGUACCUAAUCAGAAAGCCACGGCUAACUACGUG